GUCUACAACCAUGCUACCCUGAACAAGACCAAUCCCAUCUGAUCUCGGAAGCAGGGUCAGGCCUGUUUAGUACUUGGAUGACAGACCACCUAGGAAGACCAGGUGCUGUAGGCA
rnacentral:rRNA from 1 species